CACCCCCCACAGCACCAGAUGUUGUGCAGCCCAUUUCAGGACCUGGAUCAUUGUUUGGCACACUUGUUUUUAACCCAGACAUGAGUGUGUCAAUGGUGAUUCCAUCAUUUGCUGCACCAACAUCCAGUGCAGUCCCAGCUUCACCUGCACCUGCUGUUCCUCCACCUGCACCUGCUCCACCUGCACCUGCUUUUGGCCAUAGCCGAUUUGUCCUUAGAGGACUGGUUGGCAGAACAGCGCCAGCAAAAUAAAGGACAAACUCCAGCUCCAGAAUAAAGGACAAAUUGCUGUAUAUAUUUUUGUAAAUGUUACAUGGGUACUCUCUCUCUCUCAUUUUAUUUAAUUUUUGUGUGUUAAUAUUUAGCAUUUUAAAGUGGCACUUAUAGGCCCACUCUUAUUUUGUCUUGUGUGUACUUAUUUAAUAUUUGUGUGCAUUUUAUGUAAAAAUAUAUUUAUAUUUCUUUAAAAAAAUAACAUUUUAUACAUUGCUUAAAUACUAUAUUUUAUAUAUUACGUGCCCCCACUCUUGCGUUUUAUUAUGUAUUUAUAUUAUUGUUUAAUAUAUUGUGUAUAUAAAACUAAA
ensembl:processed_transcript